AAUGCGCGCUAUGGGUCCUUUUUCCUAACACUUGCAGAAGAUUUCAGCCCCGGCCACGAUGUUUGCUGUCAGCGGAUGGAAAAGUCUUCCUCAAUUUAUGGUUCAUACCCCAUUCUUCUGAAGUGCUGAUUAUGUUCAAAACUCUGCCAGAAAAGGCAGCUUUUAAAGCCUUAAAGCGAACUCUACAGCUGAUAGCUCCUCUGCAUGAUAUCGUGGCCUACCUUGUCAGUUUUGCUAAGCUUGGCAAUUGUGCAGCAUGUUUUGAAUUUCCUCUAAGUCCCAACCCUUUGAGAGGAGACUGGGGAGGAACUGAGGUCAUUGAAGAACGUUUUUGGCAGCUGGAAAUAUUCCUGCCUACCAGUCUGUCACAGACAGCAUGUGCCAUGGGCUACCAGCACUGAGCAACUGUCUCAGGAAGAGCAUUUUUGCCUCGCAGCUCAGCGUGCCCCAGCCACUGAAUCCACGAAGCCUCCAGGCAUUUGAGCUGUUUCCUUGGAGAGCAUUUCUGGAAGAUGGAGGACUAUUCCCAGUUAUGAGUAGCAGCCCAGAUACCCUAGAAUAUAAUAUGCAGGUAGGAUAGGUCUUCUCCAUUGUUACAGAGAGAACUGAGUGCAGACUGCAAAGAUGGUUGCCAUUGGGUCCACAGGUCAGAUCCUCCUACUCUCACCCAUGAUGAAUAAUGUGUGAGAUAAGCGGGGUGUUUGAUUUUGAAGC